rnacentral:lncRNA from 1 species
AAUGUUUAGCAGAAAUAGCUUGUACUAGAAGAAUCACGAUGUUCCCAAAUUAUUUAUGGAAAUACAUGAGUUCUGAUAAAACUUUUAAACCUGCUAGAUUGCUGAUGUCCAGGAUGGACUUUGCUGAGGAAUUUAAAAGAGAAGAUUAUGGAGGAGAGAGAAAAGAGAUCCAAGAGUUAGUGAACUCAGAUGUGAAGGAAUGAGAUUCAAGUAUCAUUUAUUCAGACAGAGUUUUGACACAUAUGCAGGAAAAGAAAAUAUAAUUAUACAUUACAAAAAUUACUGGAUAAGAAAAUGAGCAAUUUGAUACAGAUUUGCUGUGUAAAAUUUGAGGUGCAAUAUUUGUAGUUAAACAUUUAUAUAAAUGAAAGCUGUGUGUAUAUUUCUGUACAAAUGAUGAAGGUGACCCUGAUUUAAGUCAUUCAAUAAAAGAACAUUUAAAUAUGUAAAUCAGAGAUGAAUUCAGUUUAGGGAGGGUUAUCAAAAAUAUCUGUUAUCUUUGAACAUGAACAUAUGCUCACUAUGCUAAUUCUGUAGGCUCCUUAGAUCAAAUGCUGGCGUGUUUCAGUGUUUUGCAUCACUUAAAAUUUUAACUUCAGAUUUCAUCCCCAGUUUUCCUUUUUUGUAUGCUUCUUUUUUUUUUCCUAUUACCAAAUGCCAAAUUAUGAAGGGCCAUCUGAAGUGAAAAAAUCUUACUGUAUUUCUCUGUUAGGCUUUAGAUGUUGCAUCUUGCUGUUUCCUGACCUGAGAACUGUCCAGAAGAAUAUGAGACCAGAUCUUGGCCACUCCGUAAACUCAGUUGGCUCAGACAUUGCACGAAAGUGA